rfam:Hordeum vulgare subsp. vulgare, WGS project CAJW01000000 data, contig: morex_contig_38601
AUAGUACUCCCUCCCUCCCAAAUUACUUGUCCUAGAUUUGUCUAGAUACGGAUGUAUCUAACAGAAUUACUUGUCCUAGAUUUGUCUAGAUAUGGAUGUAUCUAGACACAUUUUAAUGUUAGAUACAUCCGUAUCUAGACAAAUCUAGUACAAGUAAUUUGGGACGGAGAUAAUAGUGU